rnacentral:rRNA from 1 species
UAGGGAAUCUUCGGCAAUGGGGGCAACCCUGACCGAGCAACGCCGCGUGAGUGAAGAAGGUUUUCGGAUCGUAAAGCUCUGUUGUAAGAGAGAACGUGUGUGAGAGUGGAAAGUUCACACAGUGACGGUAACUUACCAGAAAGGGACGGCUAACUACGUGCCAG